GUGCUUGCUUUGGCAGCACAUAUACUAAAACUGGAAUGAUACAGAGAAGAUUAGCAUGGUCCCUGUGCAAGGAUGGCAUGCAAAUUCAUGAAGCGUUUGAUAUUAAA
ensembl:snRNA RNU6-1083P RNA, U6 small nuclear 1083, pseudogene